rnacentral:tRNA from 1 species
GGUCUCUUAGUAUAAAGGUUAAUAUCCUUGCUUUGUAACCAAGGGAUGUAAGUUCGAUUCUUACAGGGACCUCA